UCAGUCUAUGAUGAUCACUAUCCGCCUUGGUUGAGUUUAACUGCCAUGAAAAAACCUCACAUGCACUACCAUCUGAGACAGG
rnacentral:snoRNA from 1 species